UGGUAUCCCCCAAGAGCAGAUGGAGU
rnacentral:piRNA from 1 species